GCGUGUUCCGCUGACUCCGCGGCACCAGGGCACCAGCUGCAGUCAGGGGAUCGUGCGAACUUCUUUACGUAAUCGCAAAAAUAUGUCAAUGGUGCAUAUCGACAAGUGACGCUCUGGCAGCUCGAACGAACGACGAUUCCGGACAAUAUAGAGCACAACAAAUCUUUGAUAUUUCCCGUUUGCAGAUUAAUGUCAUACCUGGAGUUCCAUCGUUUAUGUACAAGAUGUGCGAAUUGCAUUUGAAAAAGAUGGAUCCGUUUCGCUGGCGAAGUAAUCGAAACACUGAUUUGGUCGAUAAAUUUACCGAACAGCAGAACACAGCGAAGAACGAAUCAGGAAUCAAUCAAGACCAUCUUGACCACUCUGCCGAACAAACGGUUCGAACGGGACUGUCAAUUGAAACUGAAGCUACCUCACCGGACAACACCGGUUUGCCCUUGAACCAAAUAUGUCGUAAGGUUCAUGAGUCAAACAGUACAUAUGAAUGUUGUGACAAAAUACCUGAUGAUUCAUUGGAGACAGAAGAAAAUCCUAUUCCAAUCAAAUCAGAGUACGAAGAGGACGAUGAUCAGGAAUCGAACUGUCAAAAUCCAAAAAAUCAUGUGCCGAUGAUUCAGCAGCAGAAUCAACACUGAAUUUUGACGAGCAAUGAGGGCACUGAUGCUGUUUGUCCUUAUUGUGUAUCUUCGAAUGAUUUAACCGAUUGCUUGAUGAAUGGAAGGCUUUGUCACAUACUUUACACUUGUAUGGCUUUUCGCCAGUGUGAGUGCGGAUGUGAUUGUUUAGGUUAGAUGAACGGCUGAAUUUUGUACGUUUUGUGUUUAUUUUGCAGUAGAAUAAUUCUGAAGCAGAAUCAUCCUGCAGCAAAAUCGACACAAAACGUUCCAGAACCCGGAACAACCAUAGCAAAAGCAAUUCCAAAAACCAUAAGCACCACUGCCCUCAUUGUCCGGCAACAUAUCCAGCUUUAAACAAGUUGAAUAUUCACAUACGCAGUCACACUAAACAGAAUAACCUUAAAAGAAAUCCUUUGGAAUCGAACUCUCAAAUUCCAAAAACUAAUCCUGUGAUCGUGGCAAAUAAUGCGUGUGCCGAUGAUUCAGCAGCAGAAUCAACACAAAACGCUUCGAGUCCCACAACCGGUAACGACCAUAGCAAACCACAUUCAAAAAAUCAUAAGCACAAAAUUCACAAUAAGCUCAAACAGCAUAAGUGUCCUUAUUGCUCGUCAAAGUUCAGCCGUUCAUCUAACCUAAACAAUCACAUCCGCACUCACACUGGCGAAAAGCCAUACAAGUGUAAAGUAUGUGAAAAGCCUUCCAUUCAUCAAGCAAUCGGUUAAAUCAUUCGAAGAUACACAAUAAGGACAAACAGCAUCAGUGCCCUCAUUGCUCGUCAAAAUUCAGCCGUUCACACUAACGAAUCAUGUAACGGUCGGUGGCUGACUGUCGUGGCCCGCGAAGGUUGGCCACGGUAGUUGUCACACCGGCCGUGACAAACGAAGGAAAGGAAUUGGGGAAGGAAGGGAUUAGGAUAUCCGUGGCAGGCGGCGACUAGAGUGGGUCCCGCUCUGAGGCGUUUUGCCGGUCUCCGUAUGGUCGCUUGCCGGAUCGGUGGGGUGUUCGGAUCUAGUUGGACGGUUACCGCGACAGCUCGAGUAAAACGCUGUACACGUCUUAAUGAAGUAUCAUCGAUAACUGGGUUUAUUCAUAAUUUUCGGUGCCUUAUAUACUAGUUUUACAGAGCGAGAAAAGCAUUCUGUGUGGUUCCUAUCUUGGUUUCUGUUUUGGAUUCCUAUUCCGGCCUAUGUUUGGUUCUGGUCCCUGGGUUCCCUGCUUAGUUUUAUUUCGGGUCCCCUGCUUAGUUUUUAUGACCCUUGCUGCUGCUAUGAUUCCUGCUCUGUUUUAUGACCUAAUGCAUUUAUUACCCUGUCUAAAGGCAGCUGCAUCCGCGCGGUGCUUAUCUUCUCCUAAUACAGUUGCACUUGAGCUCGGAUCCACGAAGAUGCAUUUCUGUUUGAUUAGGACGCGUUCCUAGACCCACGCGAUGAAUCGUGUCCCUUGGUUCAACCUAAUAUUUAUCCUUAUCAAGCCUAUCUAUGUUUACGAGAAAUGCUGUGUUCCCACGCUGCGUUCCCAACAAAUCACAUUCGCACUCACACUGGCGAAAAGCCAUACAAGUGUAAAGUAUGUGACAAAGCCUUCCAUUCACCAAGCAUUCUGGCACAACAUUCGAAAACACACAAUAAGGACCAACAGCUUCUGUGUCAUAUUUGUGCAUCAAUGUUCGCACAGUUAUGGAAUCUAAAAACACAUAUUCGUACUCAGCACGACGUAAAGACCAAGUUCAGGACACCAAGAAAUCUGACGAAAUACUCCAAAAAUUCACAAGAAGAGUGAAAUUAAUUAAUUGCUUCGUUGUUCAUUCAAGUUUGGGUUAGAAUGAGUUUGAAUUUUGCAUCUUUGAGAUCAUCAGAACCUGAUACCUCCUUUAAAAUACCUUAUGUUUCCUUUUAAAAUAUUUCCUUUAAUACUUCUGUGUUUGCGAUUCGUCAGUUUUGAUUAGUUCAGUUCAGUUGUAAGUGCUUAGUUAAGUUCAAUAUUGCCAAUUAGGCUAAGUUGCCCGUUGGCUAUUUUCUUUUACUAACAAACAAAAAAACAAUCCGCAUCGA